rnacentral:tRNA from 1 species
UCCCGUGUGGCUCACUUGGUAGAGCAUGGUGUUUGCAACGCCAGGGUUGUGGGUUAGAUUCCAACGGGGGAC